rnacentral:rRNA from 1 species
UAGGGAAUCUUCCACAAUGGGCGAAAGCCUGAUGGAGCAACGCCGCGUGUGUGAUGAAGGGUUUCGGCUCGUAAAACACUGUUGUAAGAGAAGAAUGACAUUGAGAGUAACUGUUCAAUGUGUGACGGUAUCUUACCAGAAGGACGGACUAAAUACGUGCCAG